GUUUUGAUUUCUACAUUAAAAUUGCAUCGGUCUUAAAGUAGUGUCUGCACCACUUUUGACCCAUAGGGGGCACCAACCUCAUUGUUGAUGUUUAUUGAACACUUACUUUGCCGUCAAGCACUAGUGGGUAUUGCUUCAAUUACGUCUUUGAGGAGUCCUUAUAGAAAUUGCCCUUGGUUACAGAGCUAGUAAAAGACAAACCUGGGACUUGAAGCCACACUUAUCUGAUACAGAAGUCCUGAUUCUAUUCCUUUUGCUCUUUUUCAGCCUGCACCCAAUUUCCUUGAGGGUUUGAUUCUUUUUCUUAACAACUUUGCCUGCCUUACUCCUUCCUAGAGCUUGCCAGGCCAGACUGUGUGUCUUGUGUUGAGCUCAGAUAACAUCGACCCGAGAGGGAAGUUCCCGGAUGAUAGACACAUGGAACCAGGUAGCAGAAGCAAGAAAUGGAAAAUGAACGUCCAUCUCUGUUUCUGGCCUGAUCACAUAAAGACAAAAUGGUGGAGCCCGCAUAGGCCAACCUUUGGAUACCACAGUGGCUUCCAGGUGAGCACAGAGGUGAAGGUGUUAGGCCCCAGGGUGUGCCAUCCCUCAGGGCCUUUCUACUGAACCCCGACCACACGCA
rnacentral:lncRNA from 1 species